GGCUCAGGAUGAACGCUGGCGGCGUGCUUAACACAUGCAAGUCGAACGAAGCACUUAAUGAGAUUUCUUCGGAUUGAUUAUUUGUGACUGAGUGGCGGACGGGUGAGUAACGCGUGGGUAACCUGCCCCCAGACCGGGGGGAUAACAGUCGGAAACGACUGCUAAUACCGCAUAAGCGCACAGUGCCGCAUGGCACGGUGUGAAAAGCUCCGGUGGUCUGGGAUGGACCCGCGUCUGAUUAGCUGGUUGGCAGGGUAACGGCCUACCAAGGCAACGAUCAGUAGCCGGUCUGAGAGGAUGAACGGCCACAUUGGAACUGAGACACGGUCCAAACUCCUACGGGAGGCAGCAGUGGGGAAUAUUGCACAAUGGGGGAAACCCUGAUGCAGCAACGCCGCGUGAGUGAAGAAGUAUUUCGGUAUGUAAAGCUCUAUCAGCAGGGAAGAUAAUGACGGUACCUGACUAAGAAGCUCCGGCUAAAUACGUG
rnacentral:rRNA from 1 species